GGGUGAGUAGCUCAGCAGGUAGAGCAACGCACUUUUAAUGCGUAGGUCUUGGGUUCGAAUCCCAACUCACCCA
rnacentral:tRNA from 1 species